rnacentral:lncRNA from 10 species
GCUUGCUCCAGCUGACACAGUCAAGAGAAACCUAAGUCCACAUCUGCAGACCAUGGAGUUCCCUGAACAAAAACCUCUUAAAUGCUUGGAAUCCCAACUUUCAGACUAGCCAAAGAGUAGUCCAGAAAAGGCUGGAGUGCGGUGGCAUGAUCUCGGCUCACUGCAAACUCUGCCUCCCCAGUUCAAAUGAUUCUUCUGCCUUCUGCCUCAGCCUCCCAAAUAGCUGGAACUACAGGCCAACUUUUCUACCAGAUAACCCUGACCUCAUCCUGUCAGAAUUGAAUGGACCAAGAAUUGAGCUACCCUAAAAGGCCAGUUUUCUGGAAAUAGUUUGAAGAUACCGACUCAUGGUUAAAUGUUUCACAUUUACCCUCAGAAAUGAGUGCUACUGUUCAGAAACGGAGGUGCCCACUUUGCUUGUGGGAUUUAGGAGGAAAUGCCACACACUGUCAUAGAAAAAAUGGCGUCUCACUCUAUUGCCCAGGCUAGAGUACAAUAGUGCAAUCUUGGCUCACUGCAACCUCCCCCUCCCAGGUUCAAGCCAUUCUCCUGCCUCAGCCUCCCGAGUAGCUAGAACUACAAGCACGUGCACUGUACCCAGCUAAUUUUUUGUAUUUUUAGCAGAGACGGGGUUUCUCCAUGUUGGCCAGGCUGGUCUCGAACUCCUGACCUCAGGUAAUCCACCGCCUCAUCCUCCCAAAAUGCAUUAUCUCUUCCCAAAAUGCAUUAUCUAUUUCAUUAAGAAAAAGGAGAAAGCAACCAUGCUAAGCUUCAAAUAAAAGCAUGUGAGCACACCUGAUGACGCUAGACCCACUGGAAUCUCGCAUAACUCAUCCUGAACGUGUUGGGAAUCAAGUCUCUCAGGAUUAGCCCUGGUAAUCUGAAAGUCACCAGUCAUCAAGAAGUGGCAUCUCUACCAUGUGGUGCAAUCAUAGCCCUGAACUCAAAUUUCUGUCUGAUAUAUUUGAUGUGAUCCCUCCUUUUAUACCCUUUUAACUUCUGCUUGGAGAGACCCACUGACCUUGUAGCUGACUGUCAGAACUUUUCCUUGCCAGGCCAGCAAUAAAUUUGGCAUUGUUUUGGACAUUGAUUUGGUGGUCUUUGUUUCUUAGUGCUCAACAAUUUUAAUAGAGUCAGAAUCCAGAGAUAUAAUGGAUAAGCAGACUAUUAAUAAAGCACUAUUCACAAUUGCAAAGACUUGAAACCAACCCAAAUGCCCAAC